ensembl:rRNA 5S_rRNA 5S ribosomal RNA
GACAUUUGGUAGAGACUGUUGAAGCUGCCUGGUCCCAGCAGACCCCAGAAAAUGGCCACAUUCACUGGUGCUGAACAAGGUCAUUAAGGGUGAAGACUGGUGCCAGAUGUGU